AAGAAGGGGGAGAGGGGGCGUGAAGUCAGAAGGUAACGGAGGGUGAGAUCACACACCACGUUGCGAGUCGGAAGAAGAAGGACUUGGCUUGGAGUCUGAAUGAGACGGGGAAGGGGGUGCCCAGGCUGGAAGAUGAUGGCAGCCUGGACCAAGGCUAUAGAGGACGGGAAACAGGAAAUGGAUUCUGACCCCAAGGAAAGCAGCGCCUAUAGGAUUUGCUAACAGGGUGUGAGAGGAAGGCAACUGAACGACUCAGGAAGUGGGAGAAGGGAAUGAUGCUAACAAAGACAGAUGGGGUGCCUGGGUGGCUCAGUCAGUUAAGCAUCCAACUCUCGGUUUCGGCUCGGGUCAUGAUCUCCCGGUUCAUGAGUUCGAGCCCUGUGUCGGGUUCUGCACCGGCAGCGUGGGGUCUGCUUGAGAUUCCUUCUCCCCCUCUCUCUCAAAAUAAAUAAACAUUUAAAAAAAUUUUUUAAAAGGGACACCUGGGUGGCUCACUCAGGUAAGCAUCUGACUUCGGCUCAGGUCAUGACCUCGCCGUUUGUCAGCCGCCCCACAUCAGGCUUUCUGCUGUCAGUGCAGAGCCCGCUUUGGAUCUCCUGUCUGUCUCUCUCUCUAUACACCUUCCCUGCUCGUGCUCUCUCUAGUUCAAAAAUAAAUAAACAUUUUUUAAAAAUUAAAAAAAAAAAAAAAAAGAACGACUGUGGAGGCUAGCAGAUUGGAGAUAAAAGGACAAUAAGGAUUUCCCUUUUGAAUAUGUUAUGGUUGGCUUUUUUGUUUGUGUUUGGUUGGUUGGUUGGUUUUGUUUAUUCCCGAAUUUACAAUCAAAGAACUGACAGGAUACAGUCUCAAGAUCCAUUCGGAAAAGGCAUCAUCGGCUCUUGGUUUUGCCACUGACCUGCCUUUUCCAAAGCCCAUCCCACCCCCACACCCUACACCACUCCCUCCUUCCCCACAAAAUCAUGAGGACUCUUCGGCAGUAUUAAAUUUUGAUUACGAUCAGGUAAUCAUCCAGGCAAUUUUGGCCCCAGACUGCCUUCCUUGCCUCUAGAAGCUCCUUUACACCCAUACCUCCUUGUGUAACCCCCAGAAGCAGUCUUCUACAAAGGGUCCCCUAGAAACAACCGCCCAGGGAAACAGACACUUGAGCAGCCUCGAGGGGGACCGCAGGCAGAUUAUGUUUGAAAUGCUUAUUAGACACAUCAACUAGAGAUGUCUAGCAAGCAGUCAGGUGCAGGAGUCUGGAGUUUACGGGAGCGAUCCAGGCAAGAGAUAUAAAGGAACAUGUCUUCUUCACACAGAGAGAGUUGAACGUCUGAGCAGAGAUAGAGAAGAGUGACAAGCACCCUCAGGCACUCCACUCGUGUGUGGAGAGAUGAGAAACCAGCAAAGCGGACUGAGAAAGACCAGCCAGAGAGGGGAAAGGAAAACCAGGAGGGGUGUGCCCACGCAGUACGGUGGAGAAUCUAUUUCGAGGAGGAGAAAACGCAACGUGUUAAAUGUUGCCAGCAGGUGAAGAGAAGAUGGGGCCCCCGACCGUGGGCUGUGGCAGGGAAAUGUCACUGAGCAGAGACAGCAGAGGCUGAGCAAGGGCGAAAGCCCACUGUCACAGGUCCAGCACAGAACGGGAAGGGAGGUCUUAGCCAUAACGAAUACGGACAACUCACCCAAACCUGCUGCUGCGCGAGGCAGAAAAGAAAUUGGCUGGUGGCUGGCUGGAGGGGAAAUCAGAGUUCAGAGAGGAUGUUCUUAUUUAAUAGGAAAAAUAAUAACUUGUAUGCCGGUGGGAAUUCAGGAAGGAAAACGGAUACGGGAAGAGAGGGGCAACUCUGUGUGACAACGUCCUUGAGAAGGUAGAUGGAGACAGAGGCGGGGUGCCGCGUGCAAGGAGCUGGGAGCGCGGGCACAGACACGGGUGGGCAGCCGGUGCACCGGCAGGAGCACGUGGACGUUCUCUUCUGAUUGCUCCUGUUUUGUUAGUGAAGAAGGAAGUGGCUGAAAGCAAAGAGGCCACGGGCAUCUGGAGACCCGGUACAAAGUGUGCAACAGUUGUGCAAGAGAACAGGGGGAUGAGUGGAUGGCAGAAACAGGGACCGCUGGGCAGCGCCAAGGGUCGACUGGGGAUUUAGGAUCAUUAACUCGGUGAGAUGAUCGGUUUGGCGGCGGUGGCUUUGUGCCGGCACAACAGGCUACAGGGGCGCAAGCACCCAGCAGCUGGAGAGAGACGGUUUUCGCCGGAAGGGUGCACGGGUCAGGGGUGAGAGGGACAAGGAUGCACAGUGCAGUAGUGACUCGAGAGGCUGAUCCUGGCACUCCAGCUGGGGAGGCCAGCAGUCAGGAGCCGGGGAACGGUGCCGCCUUCAAUGACCCAAGGAUCCUGGCGGUGCAGGCGUGAGGUUGAAGGGACUACAGGGCAAGCCCACAGAGGAUGUGGUGAUGCGAACAGGAUGCCCCGGGUGAGCUGUGGAGGCAGCGAGGUCACCAGUGACCGCAGCAUCGAACCAGCAUCGCUCUCUUGGUGGCUGACAGCGGCGGGAGACAAGUUCACGGGAGGGGAAACCAAUCAGUCUGAACACUGGCAUCCUGGACACCAGGGACGCGAACCAGAAACAGGAGGCUUCAACAAGCCAGGGGAGGGACUCUGUGGAGGGGGGGACGACAGCCACAGGGGGUCAGGGGGCCACGCAGGAGACCCCAGACUCAGAGCACAGGCUCUCGGGAGGAAGGGGACUGGUAGGGACACCGCAUGGAGGGCACGACCCCGCCCCCAACCGCAGCCACAAGACAGGAUUGCUGCUUCACUCCAAAAAGGCAAGGGGCAGGGGAUGCUCACAGACGGUUCAGGAAGCAGGGAAUUUCUCUGACAACUAACUGUAUGGGCUCCAUGAGUUCCAGGGGGAGGGGCAGGGACAGCACUGGAAGUGGCCCAUGAGGACUGGGACGCAGGCAUGACAGAUGCCUCGGGAGUCCAGGCUGCCUGCGGUGACCGGCACAGGCAGGAGGAAGAGGUGUGGUGACACCAGGCCUCGCGGGCAAGGCAGACAGUGCUGAACAGGCUGGCAGCGUGGACCUGUCCCAGGUGAGCCCUGCCGGGGAAGCGGCGGGCGCUGAGGAGGUGCAAACCUCCCCCUCGCUCCUGCACCAGCAAGACAGGUCUUGUAAACUUGGCCUCUCCAAAAAAAAAAGCAGAAA